rnacentral:rRNA from 1 species
AGAGUUUGAUCAUGGCUCAGGAUGAACGCUAGCUACAGGCUUAACACAUGCAAGUCGAGGGGCAGCAUGUUGGUUGCUUGCAACCAAUGAUGGCGACCGGCGCACGGGUGAGUAACGCGUAUCCAACCUACCCUUGUCCAUCGGAUAACCCGUCGAAAGGCGGCCUAACACGAUAUGCGGUUCACAGCAGGCAUCUAAGGUGAACGAAAUGUGAAGGAGAAGGAUGGGGAUGCGUCUGAUUAGCUUGUUGGCGGGGUAACGGCCACCAAGGCUACGAUCAGUAGGGGUUCUGAGAGGAAGGUCCCCCANAUUGGAACUGAGACACGGUCCAAACGUCCUACGGGGCA